rnacentral:rRNA from 1 species
UACGUAGGUGGCAAGCGUUGUCCGGAUUUACUGGGCGUAAAGAGCGCGCAGGCGGUCGUUCAAGUCGAGUGUGAAAGCCCCCGGCUCAACUGGGGAGGGUCACUCGAUACUGAUCGACUCGAAGGCAGAAGAGGGAGGCGGAAUUCCCGGUGUAGUGGUGAAAUGCGUAGAUAUCGGGAGGAACACCAGUGGCGAAGGCGGCUUUCUGGUCUGCUCUUGACGCUGAGGCGCGAAAGCUAGGGUAGCAAACGGG